UACGUAGGGGGCAAGCGUUGUCCGGAAUCAUUGGGCGUAAAGCGCGUGUAGGCGGCCCGAUAAGUCCGCUGUGAAAUCUCGAGGCUCAACUUCGAGCUGUCGGUGGAAACUGUCUGGCUAGAGUCCGGAAGAGGAGAAUGGAAUUCCUGGUGUAGCGGUGAAAUGCGCAGAUAUCAGGAAGAACACCCGUGGCGAAGGCGGUUCUCUGGGACGGUACUGACGCUGAGACGCGAAAGCGUGGGGAGCGAACAGG
rnacentral:rRNA from 1 species